rnacentral:rRNA from 1 species
AAAUGAAUAGACGGGGGCCCGCACAAGCGGUGGAGCAUGUGGUUUAAUUCGAAGCAACGCGAAGAACCUUACCAAGGCUUGACAUACCAUUGAUGGGUGCAGAGAUGCACCGUUCUACGGACAAUGGAUACAGGUGGUGCAUGGUUGUCGUCAGCUCGUGUCGUGAGAUGUUGGGUUAAGUCCCGCAACGAGCGCAACCCUUAUUUUUAGUAGCCAGCGAGUGAUGUCGGGCACACUAGAAAGACUGCCGUGGAUAACACGGAGGAAGGUGGGGAUGACGUCAAAUCAUCAUGCCCCUUAUGUCUUGGGCUACACACGUGCUACAAUGGCAGGUACAGAGAGAAGCGAAGGGGUGACCUGGAGCAAAGCUCAAAAAAGCUGCCACAGUUCGGAUUGUAGUCUGCAACUCGACUACAUGAAGCUGGAAUCGCUAGUAAUCGCAAAUCAGCAUGUUGCGGUGAAUACGUUCCCGGGCCUUGUACACACCGCCCGU